rnacentral:misc_RNA from 1 species
UCCGAGUUGACCCCGGCAGUCUCCCAUGAGUCCCCGCCAUAACGCGCUGGCAACAUGGAACGAGGGUUGCGCUCGUUGCGGGACUUAACCCAACAUCUCACGACACGAGCUGACGACAGCCAUGCAGCACCUGUAUACCGACCACAAGGGGGGCCGUAUCUCUACGGCUUUCCGGUAUAUGUCAAACCCAGGUAAGGUGGGGAUGACGUGUGAGAGUACGUCC